GGGGGAUAUUGCACAAUGGAGGAAACUCUGAUGCAGCAACGCCGCGUGAGGGAAGAAGGUCUUCGGAUUGUAAACCUUAGUAGUCAGGGACGAAAGAAAUGACGGUACCUGAAGAGUAAGCUCCGGCUAACUACGUGCCAGCAGCCGCGGUAAUACGUAGGGAGCGAGCGUUGUCCGGAUUUACUGGGUGUAAAGGGUGCGUAGGCGGGACUGCAAGUCAGACGUGAAAUACCGAGGCUUAACUUCGGGGCUGCGUUUGAAACUGUGGUUCUUGAGUGAAGUAGAGGCAGGCGGAAUUCCUAGUGUAGCGGUGAAAUGCGUAGAUAUUAGGAGGAACACCAGUGGCGAAGGCGGCCUGCUGGGCUUUAACUGACGCUGAUGCACGAAAGCAUGGGGAGCAAACA
rnacentral:rRNA from 1 species